CCGGGCAGACGAGUCAAUGAAGCGGCUCCCAGUCCCGCGCGCGGCUGAGCGGCUGAGCGGCACGGCCGUUCCGGGAAACGGGCCCUUCACGUCCUCUGUGGAGGCCACCGAGAGCCCUCGCACCCCCAGAGGGUGUGCCGCGGGACACCCGCGCGGUACCAGGUGCACCCUUGGAGGCCAGGCUGUCGCUGGUGGAAACGUCCUCGCCGCGCACCGCGGGGCUGCAGUUGAAGGCGGGGGUUGGAAGAAAACAGGAAGAAGUCGUUCGAGCUUGGGUUUCCCCCCCAGCGGACCUGAGGCGAGCAUUUGGGUACAACGGGAGUACGGGGCUCGUGCCUGAGCAGGUGUCCAGAGGGCCACAGGGGCUCAGUCUCGCUGAGGACACUCGAGACCGCGUGGAAUCCGCCGCAGCACUGUCCCCAAGAGGCGAGAAGGUCCAGUAUAAAUUUACUCCUAAUGAUUUCAAACCCAUCAGUAAAAUAUGAAGAUGCUGUGGAACCUGUGUGUACCACGAUGAGGGGCUUGGCAGCCUGUGGGAGCUGUAUGGGGUGCAGGGCAGUGCAUGAAGCUGGAGCCCAAGAGGCAGUGAUGCCGGGAAUGCAGGACCCUGGGUACAUGAGUUGGGCUUAGGGUUUCAGUCUGUACCUG
rnacentral:lncRNA from 1 species